UACGUAGGGGGCAAGCGUUGUCCGGAUUUAUUGGGCGUAAAGCGCUCGCAGGCGGCUCGCGGCGUCGUGCGUGAAACACCCCGGCUCAACUGGGGAGGGUCGUGCGAUACGGGCGGGCUGGAGGCCAGUAGGGGGACGUGGAAUUCCGGGUGUAGUGGUGGAAUGCGUAGAGAUCCGGAGGAACACCAGCGGCGAAGGCGGCGUCCUGGACUGGUACUGACGCUGAGGUGCGAAAGCGUGGGGAGCAAACAGGG
rnacentral:rRNA from 1 species